GUGCUCAAUUCAGCAGCACAUACACUAAAACUGGAACCAUACAGAGGAGAUUAGCAUGGCCCCUGCACAAGGAUGACACACUAUUUGUGAAGCGUUCCCUAUUUUG